rnacentral:rRNA from 1 species
GGCGAACGCUGGCGGCGUGCUUAACACAUGCAAGUCGAACGGAAAGGCCCUGCUUUUGUGGGGUGCUCGAGUGGCGAACGGGUGAGUAACACGUGAGUAACCUGCCCUUGACUUUGGGAUAACUUCAGGAAACUGGGGCUAAUACCGGAUAGGAGCUCCUGCUGCAUGGUGGGGGUUGGAAAGUUUCGGCGGUUGGGGAUGGACUCGCGGCUUAUCAGCUUGUUGGUGGGGUAGUGGCUUACCAAGGCUUUGACGGGUAGCCGGCCUGAGAGGGUGACCGGCCACAUUGGGACUGAGAUACGGCCCAGACUCCUACGGGAGGCAGCAGUGGGGAAUAUUGCACAAUGGGCGGAAGCCUGAUGCAGCAACGCCGCGUGCGGGAUGACGGCCUUCGGGUUGUAAACCGCUUUCGCCUGUGACGAAGCGUGAGUGACGGUAAUGGGUAAAGAAGCGCCGGCUAACUACGUG